rnacentral:lncRNA from 1 species
CACGGCGGCGGCGGCGGCGGCGGUGGGAGCGGGCACCGCCGCGGGCCGGUGAGUGCGGGCAGCGGGGCCCGGCCCGGGGGGAUGCGGCCGCGGACAGCGCUGGGGAAGGGGCGGCUGAAGCCCGGCCGGGGGGCUCCUCCUUUUCCAGCCGCCGGGGGCCGGUCUGAGCUGCCGGGAUGGGGAGGGGAAUGCCGUGCCCUGCAGCGUUCCGGUGAGCCCCGGGGUGUCCCCGCCUCUGCCCGCGGCACUGGGGUUCCUGCACCUGGCACCAGCACCCAGCCCUCUGCCCCGUCAGCAGGGUGUCCCUGCGUCCCCCAGGGAUGCCCCUCUAGCCUCAAACAGCUCUGUGGCCCCAGGGACACUCCUGUGUCCCCCGGUGCCCCCAAAGCUGCCCUCGUGUCCCGCUAUGACCCUGUACGCCCAAGGAUGUCCCUGUGUGCCCAGCUGGACAAAAUCCCAUGUGAGCCCCCAUCUGCCCUUCCAAGGCCUGACCCCCCAUCCGGGGUGCCUUUCAGGAGGGGCCACAUCCCCUCCCUUCUCUGUGGGGCUGGGGGGCACAUCCAGGAGCCCCCUGUGCUGUCUUGGUGCUCACUCUGAGCAUCCCCAGCCCUGGCAGUGUGACAGCCUGGCAGUGCCAUGGGUGUGGUGGGUGCUGGGGGGCAGCCCCAGGGUGGUGCUGGGGAAGCCUCGGGGAAGGGGAUCCAGCUCCUGCCCAGGGAAGGGACGUUCUCCAUCAGGGACAGGAUCCUCUGCUCCCGGGGCGCACCCCUCAGGGUAGGGCAGUGUGGGUGCCCAGAGCUGGGUCCCCAGGAGCACCGGGCAAGUCUGACCCCAUCCUCAUGUCCCUACAACCCUCCUGCCACACUGGCCACCACAGCCGGGUGAGAAUGUGGCACCCCGAAGGGACGGCACCCUGUUUUGGGGGGACAGGUGUGCUCCGAGGGGACGCGUUUGUCUGCCUGGCAGGGAAGGGGUUAAGGCCGGGCGGGUUUUGGGGUGCCGGGGUGUCCCCAGCUGGGUACACCCAGGCUGCUCCUCGCACGGGUGACCUCACGCCACUGCCAUGGCAACGGCUCGUGAAGUCACGGCGAGCGGGGCGGCUGCUGCGAGCCGGGGCUGCGGGGACGGCAGCGCCGCGUCCCCCCCGCUCCGUGCCCCAGCAUGAGCCCUGUCCCCGGCAGCGCCCUCGCCUCCGCCUGACCCCCGCGCUGCCCGCCGUGCCCGUGGCACCCCGGCCGAGGCGUCACCAUGCUGGUCAAGGAGUACCGCAUCUGCAUGCCGCUCACCACCGAGGAGUACCGCGUGGGGCAGCUCUACACCAUCAGCAAGCACAGCCACCAGGAGAGCGAGAAGGGCGAGGGCGUGGAGGUGGUGAAGAACGAGCCCCACGAGGACCCCGUGCACGGCCCCGGGCAGUUCACUGAGAAGCGAGUCCACCUCUCCAGCAAACUGCCGAGCUGGGCACGGGCAGUGACCCCCCGCAUCUUCUACAUCACCGAGAAGGCCUGGAACUACUACCCCUACACCAUCACAGGUGAGCCUGGGCAGGGCCACGGGCACCCCGGGCACCCUGUCCCUGCCCACUGGGGGGGCUGCAGGAGCUGCCCCCGGUCUCACUGCUCCCUCUCUCCCCUGUGACAUCACCCGGUGAUGCCCCCCUGUGAUGCCAAUGUGCCAUGGUGUCCCUGCAGAGUACACGGUAAGGGGCUGCCAUGGCAUGACCUGUCCCCUCCCCCAGCAGGUGGCUGGGGAGGGGGCGCUGGGGGGGCAUUUUUGGGGGUGGGUGUCCUUUGGG